CCGGCCCCUGGAGCUCUCUCUUCCUCAGCCAGCAAUCAGCGGGGGGUAAUGUAAUAUCUAAAUGCCAACACCCGCCCCUCCCUCCUCCCGGGACCUUCUGCUCCGUAAUGAGCUAAGGUUCGGAGGAAGCCCAUCUUUGCGGACAUAGUCAGAGGGUGCUGAACCCUAGAACCACUGAGGGGCCGGGGCUUGGGACAGGAUCGCCUAGCAACUGUGCAGCGGGGAGCCUGGAAACGGAUUCUGGAGCAAAAUGAGCUCCCCUGGAUUUCCUGGUUGGGGGUCCUUUCUCCUCUUCAGGAAAAAGAGCAAAGAAGAUUAAGGACAGGAACUGAAGCUGAGGAAAUGAAAUGAAAGGGGGCAGGGCAAGGAGGAGAGGAGGAUGAUGAGGAAACUGAGGUUCAGGGAAAUGAAGUGACUCGCCCAAGGACACAAAGGUGAUAAUAAUGAGAAUGGACAUGGAUACAAGUUAUCCCCAAAAUUUUAAUGCAGUUUUAUGCUUUAAAAUCUUUUAAAUAAAUAAUACUUAACAUUUCGAUAUUAAA